GGAGGAAAAGAAACCAACAGGGAUUGCCUCAGUAACGGCGAGUGAAGCGGCAAAAGCUCAAAUUUGAAAUCUGGCUCUUUCAGGGUCCGAGUUGUAAUUUGUAGAAGAUGUUUCGGGUGUGGUCCCAGUCUAAGUUCCCUGGAACUGGACAUCACAGAGGGUGAGAAUCCCGUAUGUGACUGGGUACCUACGUCCAUGUGAAACUCUUUCGACGAGUCGAGUUGUUUGGGAAUGCAGCUCAAAAUGGGUGGUAAAUUUCAUCUAAAGCUAAAUAUUGGCCAGAGACCGAUAGCGCACAAGUAGAGUGAUCGAAAGAUGAAAAGCACUUUGGAAAGAGAGUUAAACAGUACGUGAAAUUGUUGAAAGGGAAGGGCAUGCAAUCAGACUUGCGCCUAGUUGAUCAUCCGGGCUUUUGCCCGGUGCACUCGAUUAGGCUCAGGCCAGCAUCAGUUUAGAGGGUUGGAUAAAGGCCUUGGGAAUGUGGCCCCUCUCGGGGGGUGUUAUAGCCCAAGGUGCAAUGCAGCCACUCUGGACUGAGGACCGCGCUUCGGCUAGGAUGCUGGCGUAAUGGUUGUAUGCCGCCCGUCUUGAAACACGGACCAAGGAGUCUAACAUCUAUGCGAGUAUUUGGGUGUUAAACCCAUAUGCGUAAUGAAAGUGAACGGAGGUGAGAGCCCUUAAGGGUGCAUCAUCGACCGAUCCUGAUGUCUUCGGAUGGAUUUGAGUAAGAGCAUAGCUGUUGGGACCCGAAAGAUGGUGAACUAUGCGUGAAUAGGGUGAAGCCAGAGGAAACUCUGGUGGAGGCUCGCAGCGGUUCUGACGUGCAAAUCGAUCGUCAAAUUUGCGUAUAGGGGCGAAAGACUAAUCGAACCAUCUAGUAGCUGGUUCCUGCCGAAGUUUCCCUCAGGAA
rnacentral:rRNA from 1 species